AUGUGUGUCACUCAGUAUACAGUAUGUGUCACUCAGUAUACAGUAUGUGUCAGUCAGUAUACAGUAUGUGUGUGUCACUCAGUAUACAGUAUGUGUGUGUCACUCAGUAUACAGUAUGUGUGUGUCACUCAGUAUACAGUAUGUGUGUGUCACUCAGUAUACAGUAUGUGUGUGUCACUCAGUAUACAGUAUGUGUAUGUCACUCAGUAUACAGUAUGUGUGUGUCACUCAGUAUACAGUAUGUGUGUGUCACUCAGUAUACAGUAUGUGUGUCACUCAGUAUACCGUAUGUGUGUGUCACUCAGUAUACCGUAUGUGUGUGUCACUCAGUAUACAGUAUGUGUGUGUCACUCAGUAUACAGUAUGUGUGUGUCACUCAGUAUACAGUAUGUGUGUGUCACUCAGUAUACAGUAUGUGUGUCACUCAGUAUACAGUAUAUGUGUGUCACUCAGUAUACAGUAUGUGUGUGUCACUCAGUAUACAGUAUGUGUGUGUCACUCAGUAUACAGUAUGUGUCACUCAGUAUACAGUAUGUGUGUGUCACUCAGUAUACAGUAUGUGUGUGUCACUCAGUAUACAGUAUGUGUGUGUCACUCAGUAUACAGUAUGUGUGUGUCACUCAGUAUACAGUAUGUGUCACUCAGUAUACAGUAUGUGUGUGUCACUCAGUAUACAGUAUGUGUGUGUCACUCAGUAUACAGUAUAUGUGUGUCACUCAGUAUACAGUAUAUGUGUGUCACUCAGUAUACAGUAUGUGUGUCACUCAGUAUACAGUAUGUGUGUGUCACUCAGUAUACAGUAUGUGUGUGUCACUCAGUAUACAGUAUGUGUGUCACUCAGUAUACAGUAUAUGUGUCACUCAGUAUACAGUAUGUGUGUGUCACUCAGUAUACAGUAUAUGUGUGUCACUCAGUAUACAGUAUAUGUGUCACUCAGUAUACAGUAUGUGUGUGUCACUCAGUAUACAGUAUGUGUGUGUCACUCAGUAUACAGUAUGUGUGUGUCACUCAGUAUACAGUAUGUGUGUGUCACUCAGUAUACAGUAUGUGUGUGUCACUCAGUAUACAGUAUGUGUGUGUCACUCAGUAUACAGUAUGUGUGUGUCACUCAGUAUACAGUAUGUGUGUGUCACUCAGUAUACAGUAUGUGUGUGUCACUCAGUAUACAGUAUGUGUGUGUCACUCAGUAUACAGUAUGUGUGUGACACUCAGUAUACAGUAUGUGUGUGUCACUCAGUAUACAGUAUGUGUGUGUCACUCAGUAUACAGUAUGUGUGUCACUCAGUAUACAGUAUGUGUGUCACUCAGUAUACAGUAUGUGUGUGUCACUCAGUAUACAGUAUGUGUGUGUCACUCAGUAUACAGUAUGUGUGUCACUCAGUAUACAGUAUGUGUGUCACUCAGUAUACAGUAUGUGUGUGUCACUCAGUAUACAGUAUGUGUGUGUCACUCAGUAUACAGUAUGUGUGUCACUCAGUAUACAGUAUGUGUGUGUCAGUCAGUAUACAGUAUGUGUGUCACUCAGUAUACAGUAUGUGUGUCACUCAGUAUACAGUAUGUGUGUGUCACUCAGUAUACAGUAUGUGUGUCACUCAGUAUACAGUAUGUGUGUGUCAGUCAGUAUACAGUAUGUGUGUGUCACUCAGUAUACAGUAUGUGUGUGUCCCUCCCGGUGUGAAAACACUGCUGUGUGUGUGUGUCUGCAUCUCUGCUGUGUGUGUGUGUGUGUCUGCAUCUCUGCUCUGUGUGUGUGUGUGUGUGUGGGCUCAGGAGAGAGUUCAAUGA
rnacentral:lncRNA from 1 species